rnacentral:tRNA from 1 species
GGCUCUGUAGCUCAGUUGGGUAGAGCACUCGGUUGAAGCCCGAGGUGUCGGGGGUUCAAUUCCCUCCGGAGCCA